CCUAGUAACGGCGAGUGAAGCGGCAACAGCUCAAAUUUGAAAGCUAGCCUUCGGGUUCGCAUUGUAAUUUGUAGAGGAUGAUUUGGGGAAGCCGCCUGUCUAAGUUCCUUGGAACAGGACGUCAUAGAGGGUGAGAAUCCCGUAUGUGACAGGAAAUGGCACCCUAUGUAAAUCUCCUUCGACGAGUCGAGUUGUUUGGGAAUGCAGCUCUAAAUGGGAGGUAAAUUUCUUCUAAAGCUAAAUAUUGGCGAGAGACCGAUAGCGCACAAGUAGAGUGAUCGAAAGAUGAAAAGCACUUUGGAAAGAGAGUUAAAAAGCACGUGAAAUUGUUGAAAGGGAAGCGCUUGCAAUCAGACUUGUUUAAACUGUUCGGCCGGUCUUCUGACCGGUUUACUCAGUUUGGACAGGCCAGCAUCAGUUUCGGCGGCCGGAUAAAGGCUCUGGGAAUGUGGCCUCCACUUCGGUGGAGGUGUUAUAGCCCAGGGUGUAAUACGGCCAGCCGGGACUGAGGUCCGCGCUUCGGCUAGGAUGCUGGC
rnacentral:rRNA from 1 species